rnacentral:rRNA from 1 species
UCGAUUCUGGCUCAGGAUGAACGCUAGCGGCAGGCCUAAUACAUGCAAGUCGAACGGUAAACGGUCCUUCGGGACUGUGAGAGUGGCGGACGGGUGCGUAACGCGUAUGCAACCACCCCCGACGGGCGCACAGCCGGUGGAAACGCCGGGUAAUGCGCCAUGCGCACCGUGUGGGGCAUCCCAUGCGGUGCAAGGCGGCGACGCGGUCGGGGACGGGCAUGCGUCCCAUUAGAUAGUUGGCGGGGCGACGGCCCACCAAGUCGACGAUGGGUAGGGGAUCUGAGAGGACGGUCCCCCACACUGGUACUGAGACACGGACCAGACUCCUGCGGGAGGCAGCAGUAAGGGAUAUUGGUCAAUGGGCGGAAGCCUGAACCAGCCAAUGCCGCGUGAGGUAAGAAGGCCCUACGGGUCGUAAGCCUCUUUUACCCGGGGACAAGGGCGCGCACGUGAUGCGCGCUUGAGGGUACCGGGGAAUAAGCGUCGGCUAACUCCGUGCCAGCCGCCGC